CAACCUCACGGGUCAGUACAAUGUGGAUUCUAUGUAAUGCGUUACAUGAAAGACAUUAUUGAAAAUUAUGGAUGUGACCGCCCCAAACCAAUAUCUUCAUUGUUUGCCGAAGGAUUUUACUCUGAAGAAGAAAUCAAUGAAGUUCGGGAAGAGUGGGCUGAGUUUGUAUAUCGUUUUGUUCAUAAGAAUGAUGAUGAAGGUUCAAGCUAGUUGGAUGAUAUAUUUGUUGGACAAUUGUUGGUGAUGAAGUCGUAAUUAAUUGGAGAUUUUAUUAGAAAUUUUUUUAGUAGAUAAAUAAAUGUGCAACUAGAGAUGAUACAAUUGUGG